AUUGAACGCUGGCGGAAUGCUUUACACAUGCAAGUCGAGCGGCAGCGCGGGGCAACCUGGCGGCGAGCGGCGAACGGGUGAGUAACAUAUCGGAACGUAUCCAUAAGUGGGGGACAACCUGGCGAAAGCCAGGCUAAUACCGCAUACGCUCGGAAGAGGAAAGUGGGGGAUCGCAAGACCUCACGCUUUAGGAGCGGCCGAUAUCAGAUUAGCUAGAUGGUGAGGUAAAGGCUUACCAUGGCGACGAUCUGUAGCUGGUCUGAGAGGAUGAUCAGCCACACUGGGACUGAGACACGGCCCAGACUCCUACGGGAGGCAGCAGUGGGGAAUUUUGGACAAUGGGGGCAACCCUGAUCCAGCCAUUCCGCGUGAGUGAAGAAGGCCUUCGGGUUGUAAAGCUCUUUUGUUCGGGACGAAACGGUUAAGGCUAAUAACCUUGACUACUGACGGUACCGGAAGAAUAAGCACCGGCUAACUACGUG
rnacentral:rRNA from 1 species